rnacentral:rRNA from 1 species
AGCAGCCGCGGUAAUUCCAGCUCCAAUAGCGUAUAUUAAAGUUGUUGCAGUUAAAAAGCCCGUAGUUGAACUUCGGGGUUUACCCAUUGGUCAGGCUUAAUUGUCUGUACUGGUGAGAUAAAUCUCUACCUUCUGAGGAACUUUCAUGCCAUUUAUUUGGUGUGAUUGGAAAUCAGGACUAUUACUUUGAAAAAUUAGAGUGUUUAAAGCAGGCUAACGUCUGAAUAUAUUAGCAUGGAAUAAUGAAAUAGGACGGCUUGGUUCUAUUUCGUUGGUUUCUAGGAUCACCGUAAUGAUUAAUAGGGAUAGUUGGGGGCAUUAGUAUUCAAUUGUCAGAGGUGAAAUUCUUGGAUUUAUUGAAGACUAACUACUGCGAAAGCAUUUGCCAAGGAUGUUUUCAUUAAUCAAGAACGAAAGUUAGGGGAUCGAAGACGAUCAGAUACCGUCGUAGUCUUAACCAUAAACUAUGCCGACUAGGGAUCGGACGAAGUUAAUUUUAUAAUGACGCGUUCGGCACCUU